AUUGAACGCUGGCGGCAGGCCUAACACAUGCAAGUCGAGCGAGCGGCGGACGGGUGAGUAAUGUCUGGGAACUGCCCGAUGGAGGGGGAUAACUACUGGAAACGGUAGCUAAUACCGCAUACUAUCGGAUAACCCAUAUGGGAUUAGCUAGUAGGUGGGGUAACGGCUCACCUAGGCGACGAUCCCUAGCUGGUCUGAGAGGAUGACCAGCCACACUGGAACUGAGACACGGGCCAGACUCCUACGGAGGCAGCAGUGGGGAAUAUUGCACAAUGGGCGCAAGCCUGAUGCAGCCAUGCCGCGUGUAUGAAGAAGGCCUUAGGGUUGUAAAGUACUUUCAGUGGGGAGGCGUUACCGACAGAAGAAGCACCGGCUAACUCCGUGCCAGCAGCCGCGGUAAUAC
rnacentral:rRNA from 1 species